UACGUAGGGUGCAGGCGUUAAUCGGAAUUACUGGGCGUAAAGCGUGCGCAGGCGGUUUGCUAAGACAGGUGUGAAAUCCCCGGGCUCAACCUGGGAAUUGCGAUGGAGACUGCACGGCUAGAGUGUGUCAGAGGGGGGUAGAAUUCCACGUGUAGCAGUGAAAUGCGUAGAUAUGUGGAGGAACACCGAUGGCGAAGGCAGCCCCCUGGGAUAACACUGACGCUCAUGCACGAAAGCGUGGGGAGCAAACAGG
rnacentral:rRNA from 1 species